rnacentral:tRNA from 1 species
CUCCCUGUGGCUCAGUUGGUAGAGCAUGGUGUUUGCAAUGCUAGGGUUGUGGGUUCGAUUCCCACGGGGGGC